CCUGACUGUAUCCGACUUGUUGGAACAACCUUGUAACAAGCCUGAUAAAUGAUAAUAUCAACAAAGUUGUUACAAAUUGUUAACAGCUUGUUCCAAACUUGUUGACAACUUGUGACAAGCAGUGCGAAGACAACUUGUUGACGGCUUGUUAACAAACUUGUUACAAGAUGUGAGAUUUUUGCGUGAGUGUAAUAGAAACUAACAGCACGAAUUAAAUUUCUAUAUCUACUAUAUAUAUCUUUCCAUGCGGCCUACGGUACCAACUUUCUUCACCAUUCACGUCAAAAUUUUCAUUUGGCAUUUAUCAGUAUUUUUCUGUAAUUUUUAGUGACCGAUUUUUAAAAUUUUGUACCGAAUUUUGUAUUAUUCUGUAUAUGUCUAUUCAUCAUGUGUCCAUGACAAUAUUGCUUUGCAAAUACUAGAUCGGAGUCUAGAUAAUUUAUCGCAAGAAAAUAUGACAAAAUGUGAUUGAAAUGAAGCUAUGGAUAGGUCAUAAUUUAUUGUAAAUUUGUAAAUAUUAUUAGUAUAGUAUAGAUAGGCUAAGAUAGCAC